AGUGAGAAUUGUCUUUAUUGUAUGGCUCGAAUGAGUAAAAUAAGCGCAUGUUUAACGAGUUUGUGCAGGUACAUGAUGGUCAAGUAAUUCAUUUUGCCACUUGUUUUCGUAAAAAUACUUUACAUCCAUUGGCUUUAAUUAAAUACAUUUUAUUUGCAAGGGCUUAACAUUGUCUUAAUUCUAUGCAGGCUUUUUUCGAUUGAUGGCCAAAAGAAAAGGCAUUUUGUCGCUGCUUAUAGCAAAUUAAAGACGUCAUUACAGUAAGCUUUCUGUUCUACCUCCAUGGACUGUUAUAGAAUCAAGUGGGGAGCUACAUAAUCUUGAUAUACCACCCUGCAGAAAUGAGUACCUUCCUACAUUUUAUUCAGCAUCCUACCUCUAUUUUUUUUAAAGGAAUACAUAGUGACGAAACAUUUAUGGGCAGAAGUAUGUGAUUUUCUGUAAAUUAAUCAUGAUUUAUUUAUUCAUAUCUAUGCCACACGCCACUUGCCCCUGGUAGUGGGUACAUAAUAGGGAUGGGUCAGAAUAUUUGAUUAUUCGUUCUUGAGGGUCAAAAUCGAUUUUUUACUUUUGGACCAUGAACAUAUUUUCCCAUUCAAAUAUAAAGUUUUUCACAAGCCAUAACUUUGUUUACCUGGUAACGCCUGAGGGUUUGUCUAAUACCUGGUACAAUCAUUACCUUCCCGUAAGGUUCUUAUGCAACGGAAACGUUGUUCACUCCUCAAGUAAAUAGUACGGACCUUAGUUACAACUUGGCAACGGGAGGUAUUCUAGUCCGCUCAGCUAUGAGCCAGAGAGCUAACGUUAUGCAUUAUACAUAUUUAUAAUUCUAAAUUCGUCCAAAGCCUUUAUACAACAGAUACUCUAGGGUCUAUAGCAGGGGUGCCCAACCAGUCGAUCGCGGUCUACCAGUAGACCGCCGACAGAUCCCAAGUCGACCGCGAGGGGUGAAGAUUUUUAUUUUUUAUUUUUUUUAAAUAAAAUAAAAUUUGCGCGGGACAUAUACGCGCGGUAGCGCAUGCGCUGUCAACAGCAGUUGACAGUAGUUACGCACUCCUAAACGUUGGCAUGGCUGAGGGGAAACGAGCUAAGACCUACCAUUUUCAAUAUUAACAGAGGAUGUACUGCCGCAGCUUGAUGCAGCUAUUCAGAGUGCACCAUAUUAUCCUUAGCUGUUGAUGAAUCUACACAGAUAUCACUGAUAAAGCCCAGCUUCUGAUGUAUGUUCGAUUUUUCCACAAAAAGAAAGAAUUCUGUGAGGAUCUCUUAAGUGUAACAUCACUUGACUUGAGACACAUACAGGAGGAGAGGACAUAUACAAGGCCAUAAAGGAGAUGUUGAGAAAGGGGGAUAGAUCUGAAACAAGUGGUCUCAAUCACCACAGAUGGAGCCCCUGCCAUGGCAGGAAGAGAGAGAGGAGCUGUGGCACGGAUGAAAGAGGACAACCCUGAUCUCAUAGCUUACCGCUGCAUCAUCCAUCAAUCUGUUCUGUGCGCUUAUCUGUCAGAAGAGUAUAUGAAGUGAUGAAUACAAUGAUGAAACUCAACAACUGCCUCAGAGCAUCCUCAUCCCAUCAACAUCGCCUGCUGAGAGAAUUCCUGAAAGAAGUUGAUGCAAAUGCCGACGACUUACUACUGCACAACAACGUAAGAUGGCUCAGCAAAGGCAGGGUGUUGGGACGCUUUUGUCCAUUCGUAAAGAAAUGGCCACUAAUUAGUACAGCUCAAGAGUCAAGUGCUUCGUAAAUUAAGCACAUCAGCUGCAUUACCCCCAUAUAGCCACUAGGGCUCACGAUCAAACACAUAAGCUGCAUUACCCCCACAUAGCCACAUGGGAGCAGGAUCAAACACAUAAGCUGCAUUACCCCCACAUAGCCACAAGGAAGCAGGAUCGAACACAUAAGCUGCAAUUACCAUACAUUGCCACAAGGGGAGCAGGACCAAACAUACAAGCGGUAAUAGCUACUCCAGUCACAGAUGGCAGCACCUUUAGACAGACGAGGAAGCCUGAGCCAAUACGUCACAUAGGUCACGCCUACUUGAUGCAAACGCAGAGCGGGAGCCAGAAGAGGGCAGAAACAUGGCAGCCCCGUUGGCAGCCCCGUUGCUAAUAGGUCAGCGGUAUGUCGCUCCACGUGAGUGUUAAAUACAAUUCACUCCUUCUGCUUCAUAUUUACCAUACCGAAAUACUUUAACAGAAGGAACCACAGUUUUUACUUUUUCUGCAAGAUGAGAGCAAAAUCGAUAUUGCAGGGGUUGCCACUAACCAGUCCCUCCAGAAAAAACGUGAUUAUGCGAUCACAUAAUUCAACGAAUAAUCAGCCAAAGUCUGCAUAUUCAUGCGGGGCCGCAUUUUUUCAAAUAUGCCUCACUUUCACCGCCUAAAUUGCUGAUUUCCGCGAAAAAUAUGUGGGGCUGCAUGAUUUCAUAAUCCCCGCAUUUUUGUUGCAAAAAAGUCACAUAUAUCUUAGCAGAAAGUUGAAAAACGUUGCGUUUA